rnacentral:lncRNA from 1 species
GAAAAAUAUAAUAUAAUGAUUUAAAAUAUAUUAAUAGGAUAAUAUAAUAAUGGGAUAUAAUAAUAGUAACAGAAUAUGAUGAUAAUAAUAUGGCAAUAGAAUAAUAGUAUAAAAUAAUCAGUUUCAUGGCAUAGGAUAGGAAGAUGAGAGGAGAAUCCCAAUGCGUCCUGUACCUUUAAGGAGCGAAAGCAGCAGGAUGAAAGCCCUCUUCCUUCCCUCCCUCCCACCUUCCCUUGCCCGGGCUCCAGGAGCCAAUCAGAAGCCUCUGGGAAGCAAGGCAGCAUGGCCAGGAGGGAGACGGAAGGAAGGAAGAAACGGCAGCGCAGUAGCAGCCACGGAAGGUUUUUCAAGCCUCGGCUGGGGGACAGCUGGUAUCACAUCUUGUCUGUGGGACUCCAGAGCAGAGCUGGCCGAACACCAUUUUUCUACUUGAGGCAAAAGGCACCAUGAGGAUUCCAUGAUCUAUCUUCAGGGGCUGACCAGACCAGUAGCUGAAUCUUACUUCACCUGUGGCAAUGGAACAAAAUCUACUCCAGCAGCUGAAUAAAUAAGCUAGUGCAGAGAGUAUCAGGCAGGCCAUCCCAAGUGGCAAAGGUUGUCCAAUUCUGCAACAUCUCAUCACUGAUCCUCACCCCAGCAUCUGCCUCUUCUAACCCUUUCAGAAAAAUAUUAUUAUGUGAAAUUAUCUGCAUGCAGAAGAUCCUAAAUUCAACCCAUAAUCUCACCAAUAAAAACGAUCAAGUUGCAUGUGAUAGGAGAGAGCCAGUCAAAGUACAUAAUAUGAGGCAAGUUAGAUGUUCAAACGGAGAUGCUAUGAGGCAACUUGUAGAAGCAUUUCCAUAGAAAUUAGUCUACAUCGGGAAUAGAAAAUAUACUUUCCCAAUGUUGUUGGAAUCCAACUAUUGACCUAGCAUGUAGGUCAAUAUAAUGGAAGCUGAAGUUCAUCAACAUCUUGAAGUCCAUGCAUUCCUUAGCCCUGAUCUGCAUUAGAUUACAUUACUGUGCACAUUUAUUUAGGAUUAGGCCCUGCUGAACACAGUAGGAUCUGCUUCUCACUAAGUAUUCAUUCAGCCGCACUGCACAAAGGAUUUCUUAUGGGAGCAUUUCUUCCAUUUAUAUUAGUAAAAAUAUUUGCCUCCCAUAUCUUGUUUAAUGAGUCUGCUAUACAGUUCUAAAAUUGAAAUUGUACCUUUGGAUCCAUUAAAUUGGAAUUCAUACUCACCUUCCUAAUCUCUUCAAGUACCCUCCCGAGGCACCAGAAUUUCUCAAAGGGACGGAGAUAGAUUUUAAUUGUACAUAAGUAAACACGGGUACCAUGUCUGUAUUGAGGGUUGUAAUGUCUCUGGGCCCAUCA